UGCAGAUGUUAACUACCUAGUAUAGAAAAUUCUUAUUCUUCUACGAUCACCAAAUCUAGUAUAGAUUAUUUAUAUUUAUAGACUCGGAACAUAUCAAAUCCCACGCGAACAUAUUUUUUUUCAUCUCACAAGACCUCCUCGCUAUAAACUUCCCUCCAUGAAACCGUUCCUUGGCAUAUGAAAGUCUUAUUUUCCCUUACAAUUUAUGAGCACAGCAUUCUACUUUUCAGGCGCAGGUCCCACAUGUAACAUGAGUGGAUUGUCAGUUGGCUAGUAAAGCAACGGGAUUGGUUUCUGCACGCGUACACGCAUGUAAACGGAAUAAGUUCUGGUUUCUGAUUACAUUUAAGUAGAAUCUCACCCCAACUGCAUACCAAUACUUGUAUUAAUUUGUAGGCGAGAAGCAGCACAGACGGAAAAAUCUGAAACCCAAGAUUAACAUUCUCAUAGUUUCUCUGGGUAUCCAUCGGUAUGUCAGAAAGCAAACCCUCCAUGAACAGCAGUCGAUGGUUAUAUGGCACAAAAGUUGGUGGGAAAGAAGCCCAAAAAUCAGAUCUAGGUAAGUCAGAAAGCAAAGCCAUGGUGAGCACCAAUCGCAGAUCUUGGUCAGAUGAGGGAAGGGAUUCCCAUAAAUCAGAUUUUGGGAAAUCAUGUAGCGUAGCGUCAAUGCAGGGUAAACUUGUUUCCAGGCGCCUCUGUAGUAGGUUAUUUCGAACGAUGGCUCAGCUCAAGUGGAGAGGAGAAUCCUAUAACAUAUCUAUAGACUGUGAUACCAGCGAAUGGAAGAUGUUAAUUAAGGUGGAAAGCAGGGUGGCUGUAAAUGUGGAGCACUUGGUUUGGAAUUUCAGAGGGAUUAAGAAAUUUGAUACAGGUUCAGUAAGUGACCCAGUUGAAUUUGAAGUAGUUUGGGAUGUUGAGGAUUGGCUAUUUGAUAAACCCAUGACGGGGCAAGCCAUUUUUAUGUUCAGGAACGUGAGUCCUUGUUCACCUCCUCAAGCAUCCAUUGCAGAUUUUACUGCUUCAUGUGACAUACAAGGUGAUCCACUUGUGGUUUACGCUUGGAAACAAGAAGAUCAGAUUGAAUAAUUGAGAUGGCGCAUUUCGCCAAGGGUUUUUAUUAUUUUUAUGUUUUACUAUUUUUUUUUUUUUUAACAUUUCUUUGUAUACCCUUUGAUUUGAAAUUCUGUUUUAACUUUUUGUACCGGCAUAUUGAACUAUCUAUGCACUCCAUUCUUUUUCCAAGCAACUUCUAGGGUGUAUUCUUAUUUUUCAAAAACAUAUUGCUAAAAUUAUUGGUGGCUCUAUAUGAGCGUUGUAUUAAAGUCCCCAUCGCUAUAUUUCGAUAUAGCAAGACAAUCAAACUGCUCCUAAUAACCUCAAAAAUGGAGUUCUAAUAAAAGGCUGCAGCAUCCACAAGCUGAAUGAUUCAGAUUGUAUCAAUGGUUCGAGUUUCAUGGUCUUUAUGAGAGAUGCACAAGAGGAGGAAAGCUUAGCAUCAUAAGCACUACCACCACUCAAGAGUCAACCUUUAAUCCCCUGCCCAUAAGACUACUAUGAGUAUGAGUGAAGAGAAUAAGUCUGAGAGGGGUAGUAAAAUAGCCUUGUGGGAUCAACACUCACAUUUCAACCGUUUAUACAUCCUUCUCUAGGGUUUUUUUUGUGCAAGAGUACUUAUGAAAGCCGUCAAUAUCUUUCGUUGUUGUACUCCAUCUCAAGGUUUGUAUGUUUCGUGAUUAUGAGAUGAUGAUUCCACUCCAAAUAAGGCUUCUACUUUGGGUGGAAUUUGUGAACUGCAGAUUAGUUGUCUAAGUUUCUUCUAUUAUCACACAAAGGACAUCAAGCAUCAAUUGAAAAUCUUAAUUUCGGACAAAAAAAAAAAUGAAAGGAAAAGAAUGUCAAGGCUCGGCAUCAUUGUUAUCAUGUUUUUUAGUAUGUUAGGUUACAUCAAGCAUCAAUUGAAAAUCUUAAUUUCGGACAAAAAAAAAAAAAUGAAAGGAAAAGAAUGUCAAGGCUCGGCAUCAUUGUUAUCAUGUUUUUUAGUAUGUUAGGUUCAUCCUUUCAUUCCGGCUAGUCACAAUCUAAAAAAAGUGGAAGAUGUAUGCUUAAAUAGGCUAGGAUUUUUCAGGAAUAUGAGUUAUCCAUGUAGUUAUCUUUGUCCGUUUGGAACAGCCAAAGGGUUGAAAAAAUAUGGUGGAGCUGCAUCUAAGUUGUUGUAUUAAAUAAGGUCAAAAACUAAUUUUGACUACUUUCCAGCAACUAUUUAGAAAUCUUUCGGUAAUAAUUUUUUCUUUUGA